AUUGAACGCUGGCGGCAGGCUUAACACAUGCAAGUCGAGCUAGCGGCGGACGGGUGAGUAAUGUCUGGGAAACUGCCUGAUGGCGGGGGAUAACUACUGGACACGGUAGCUAAUACCGCAUACCAUCAGAUGUUCCCAGAUGGGAUUAGCUAGUAGGUGGGGUAAUGGCUCACCUAGGCGACGAUCCCUAGCUGGUCUUAGAGGAUGACCAGCAACACUGGAACUGAGACACGGUACAGACGCGUACGGGAGGCAGCAGUGGGGAAUAUUGCACAAUGGGCGCAAGCCUGAUGCAGCCAUGCCGAGUGUGUGAAGAAGGCCUUCGGGUUGGAAAGCACUUUCAGCGAGGAGGCGUUACUCGCAGAAGAAGCACCGGCUAACUCCGUGCCAGCAGCCGCGGUAAUUC
rnacentral:rRNA from 1 species